rnacentral:rRNA from 1 species
GCAAGUCGAGCGAGAAGAUUAUGAUAGAGCCUUCGGGUGAAAGAUUAAUUGGAAAGCGGCGGACGGUUGAGUAACGCGUGGGCAACCUGCCCUGUAUAAAGGGAUAGCCGCUGGAAACGGUGAUGAAUACCUUAUAAGACUACAGAAACACAUAUUUCGGUAGCCAAAGCUCCGGUGAUACAGGAUGGGCCCGCGGUUGAUUAGCUAGUUGGUGAGGUAACGGCUCACCAAGGCGACGAUCAAUAGCCGACCUGAGAGGGUGAUC